CUAUAAUCGCAGCACUUUGGGAGGCUAAGGUGGGUGGAUCAUCUGAAAUCAGGACUUUGAGACCAGCCUAGUCAACAUGGUGAAACCCUGCCUCUACUAAAAAUAUAAAAAUCAAUCA